rnacentral:rRNA from 1 species
CGUGGAGACAGGUGGUGCAUGGCUGUCGUCGGCUCGUGUCGUGAGAUGUUGGGUUAAGUCCCGCAACGAGCGCAACCCUUACCCCUUGUUGCCAUCAGGUCAUGCUGGGCACUCUAGGGGAACUGCCCCGGUCAACGGGGAGGAAGGUGGGGACGACGUCAAGUCAUCAUGCCCCUUACGUCCUGGGCUACACACGUGCUACAAUGGCCGGUACAAAGGGAUGCAAAAUCGCGAGGUGGAGCCAAACCCAGAAAGCCGGUCUAAGUUCAGAUUGGAGUCUGCAACUCGACUCCAUGAAGGAGGAAUCGCUAGUAAUCGCGCAUCAGCACGGCGCGGUGAAUACGUUCCCGGGCCUUGUACACACCGCCCGUCACACCACGAAAGCCAGCUGUACUCGAAGUCGCUGAG